UGCACUUGUGGUUUUGCUCUUGAUGCUGUUCUGGAAGAAUAAAUCUUUGCUGUUUCCAACUUACUGCCUCGAUCUUCUUCUCCACUGUGGAUGUGAUGGAUUCAUAAGAGGCUGCAGAUGGUGCUCAGCUGGCCUCAUCUUAAGAUGUCAGCAGACCAUUACUAAAAGCAGAAUUAUCAUAGUUGGACACAUCAAAAACUUUGACCCACCCAGUGACUGCUGGAAAUGAGAGCUAAUGAUUGGAGCU